rnacentral:rRNA from 1 species
ACAGAGACCCCAAGCGUUACCCGGAUUUAUUGGGCGUAAAGGGUCAGUAGGUGGUUUGGUAAGUGGAAAGUUAAAGCUCAUCGGCUUAACCUUUGAGAUGCUUUUCAUACUGCCAGACUUUGAGGGCGUUAGAGGCUAACGGAACCGACGGAGUAGGGGUGAAAUCCGUUGAUAUCGUCGGGAACACCAAAAGCGAAGGCAGUUAGCUGGGACGACCCUGACACUGAAUGACGAAAGCGUGGGUAGCAAAAAGGA